rnacentral:lncRNA from 1 species
UAUUUUUCAGGUUGCGACAUUCCCCAAGCAGAGUUGUUGUUGGGGUUGUUCCCUAAGCAGAGGGUUGUUGAAGACUUCGUUUUCUUCUCCAGCAGUUUCCUCUCCCCAGCAUGGGUGUUUCCCAUUUGGAAGUUUCGGUAGUGGGUGGUUUGAGGUCCCGGUACCCUGUCACUCUCCCCGGUGCAGUCGCCAACGGAGUUGUGGAUUUUCUCCUCAUGCAUGGAUGCUUUCCCUUUGAAGAUUCAAUGGUUGGCGGAUUGAUAUCCCGGUACUUUACCGCUUUCCCCAGCAUUGUCGUAAGCAGAGUUAUUGCUUCUUUUCCUCAGC